GGAGAAAUACCUAAUAUAGAUCAGGGGGAUGGAUGCAGCAAACCACCAUGGCAUGUGUACACCUAUGUAACAAACCUGCACAUUCUGCACAUGUACCCCAGAACUUAGAGUAUAAUAAAAAUAAAUUAAAAAAAAAGUCCUACCCACAUUUAAACAAAAAUGUGAAGCAAGACACAUCACUUCCUAGUAUUAUGCUAUAAACAGGUGAUAAAGGUUGAGGGGUUAUUCUCCAGUGAGGAAUCCAGUCCAAACCCACAGACCAGCUCAUAACCAACCAGCUGAGUCCAAAACAACUAGAUCUUUUUUGACAAUUGCCAUCCAAACCAGAGUGCAAUGAAAUGAGUUGUGUACCUCCCCUCUUCAAAUUCAUAUGUUGAAUUCUUGUGUCAGUUUGCUGAGAAUGACGGUUUCUAGCUUCAUCCAUGUCCCUGCAAAGGACAUGAACUCAUCCUUUUUUAUGGCUGCAUGGUAUUCUACAGUGUAUAUGUGCCACAUUUUCUUUAUCCAGUCUAUCUUUGAUGGGCAUUUGGGUUGGUUCCCAGUCUUUGCUAUUGUGAACAGUGCUACAAUAAACAUAUGUGUGCAUGUGUCUUUAUAACUGAAUGUUUUAUUUUCCUUUGGGUAUAUACUCAGUAAUGAGAUUGCUGGGUCAAAUGGUAUUUCUAUUUCCAGAUCCUUGAGGAAUCGCCACACUGUCUUCCACAAUGUUUGAACUAAUUUAUACUCCCACCAACAGUGUAAAGUGUUCCUAUUUCUCCACAUCCUCUCCAGCAUCUGUUGUCUCCUGAUUUUUUUAAUGAUUGCCAUUCUAACUGGUGUGAGAUGGUAUCUCAAUGUGGUUUUGAUUUGCAUUUCUCUAAUGACUGGUGGUGAUGAGUUUUUUUCCAUAUAUUUGUUGGCUGCAUAAAUAUCUUCUUUUGAAAAGUGUCUGCACAUAUCCUUUACCCACUUUUGAAUGGCGUUGUUUUUUCUUGUAAAUUUGUUUAAGUUCUUCAUAGAUUCUAGUUAUUAGCCCUGUAUCAGAUGGGUAUGUUGCAAAAAUGUUUUCCCAUUCUGUUGGUUGCCGGUUCACUCUAAUAAUAGUUUCUUUUGCUGUGCAGAAGCUGUGGACUUUAAUUAGAUCCCAUUUGUCAAUUUUGGCUUUUGUUGCCAAUGCUUUUGGUGUUUUAGUCAUGAAGUCCUUGCCUAUGCCUAUGUCCUGAAUGGCAUUGCCUAGGUUUUCUUCUAGGAUUUUUAUGAUGUUAGGUCUUAUGUUUAAAUCUUUAAUCCUGCUUCACAUUGUUAUGUGCCAAGUGCUAAUUGUGGAGGACCUGUUCUCCCUUCACUCUCUUAGGCCUUAGUCAUUAGGUAUUCGUUGUCAAUCCUUAUGGCUUCCUUCACCCAGUUCUUGUAGGUCCUCUCAGGGCAUUGUUACACUCUGCUGAUUUCCCUUUGCUGCUGUCAUCAAAUACAUAUUCUGGACAAGGGGGCUCCAUAAUAAGCUUCAACAGCAGCCCUGUAUUCAUGAUACAUCAUUGGUCACAAGUGAGGCUGGAGGAGAAGUCAUCUGCUGAGGAAGUAAGCACACGACCUGUCAUCAAGGAGUAAGCAUUUGGGCAAGAUUGAAAUCCAACUCUAAACUUCAUCACACAUCACCAUCAAGUUGCAUUCCUGAACAUGCACUGUAUUCCAUUCCUCCUGAGACCUUGGAAUGUUAUCCGCGAAGGACAGCAGGCAAGGUAGUACAUGUGAGAACAAUUGUUGACCAUGAAAUACUUUAUUCAGAAAGGAGUAGUAAUGGCAAAAAGAAUCUUUUUAGCAGCCACGCUUUCCCUUAGGGGAGAAAGCUCAGCAGUUGGUUUGCUCAGAUGGUUCACUGAAGGCAGAUGAAUUGGCACUUUGCAGCUGAGGGCCAAUGCAGGCUCACAGAAGUGGCUUCUCUCUGCAGGCUGAUUUGGGGCUCCCAACAGGGCCCAAAACCCAGCAAUCAGCACCUGUCUCUUAAUUCUGGGCAACGAACAAAUCCCAUCCCAGUGUGCUGAGAGCGCCCUCUAGUGCCCAGCAACUUCCUCAACAAUGGAGUGUAAAGACCUUUAAGGAACUUCACCAGAAGGAACUUGAAUUUCAAGCCUAACCUGAAGCUUAUUAUUUAAGGAAACAGACAUAUUUUAUCAAAGAAAUUGUUGUAUUAGAAAACAUUUAGACUGUAAAAGCAUUCUCCAAAGGAAACCAAAGAUUUAACUACAGUGAUUCAUCUACUUUAAGUCCACAACAACAAAAUAUUAAUUUAACAACACAAACAGCAUGCUCUUUAGCUCUUUGAAGGAUGGCAAUGAGGAAAACUGAAAAAUAAUGAUCUAGCAAUUACUGGCUGAACCACAUUCUAAGAAAUGUUAAGAUAACAGGUGAACAUUCGAAAUUCAAAUUUACCACUUUGGAGGCUGCUUAUUUGCAUGACAGAUGGAUUAUUUGUUUCACAGAAAGGCUUUCUGUCAGCGUGGAUUUGACUGUCAAUAACCCUAACCCCAGCAGAGCUUUAAUUAGAAUGCAAGGGGUUUGUGGGAUCUGUGGGCACUGGGGGAAGAGUGUCUUGAGAUUUUUCUAGGAGUUAAGUACAGGGCCUUUGAGUUACAUCUGAUAUAUAUGGCACAAAUUACAUAAACGUUGGGAUUGCCUGUCACCUAGGACAAGUAUUUGUACACACAGAGUAUGACAUUAAUUCCUGCAGUGAACAACUCUAUAGGCCCUUCAUCCUCAUGUGUCCAUUUCAACGAAGCCCUAUUUGCUGUGCACACACUUUUUUCAAAGACUCUAUUAGUCAAUGUGAAUAUCAAGUUAUAAGCAAGAAAAAAGCAACAAAAUAUAAAGAAAUCCCCAUUACAUCCUUUUUCCCUAUAAUACUUUUCCUUGAUUUUGCUAUAAGCAUUUCUCUGGCAUUCCCACUCCUGACACACAUGAUUAUUAAAUGUUUGUUGUCUCAACUAACUAUGCCAACAGGUUCAUAAAAUCACUUGAUAUGGAGAAAGUGGAAGACUCUGUGAAACUUAUUUACAUUGAACAUGCAAGCAUAAGAAAAGAUUGUUGAGCAACAGGAAUGAGCUAAGAAAGCAGUUGUGAAUUCUGUGUAUGUAAGAUGGAACAAGAUAUUUGUGUGUUAAGUGCCUGGCCGAAUAAAUAAAGAAGAUUCAAAUCAGGUGCAGCUGUUCUUUCUCAGUGCUGUGUGGGUAUUAGAUUCCCUGCAACCAUCUGUGGCCUCAGACCCCACGUUCCUUUGCGUAGGGAGCUCGCAGCCCCUUUUUAGCUGAAUGCAGCUGGGAGCAGGAAGGGUGGAGCAGGCUGGGGUUUGACUCAGCAGCUGUGGGCGAGACCCUGCACACUCUAUCUUGAGGACUGUGAUAAAGGUUAAAAAUAAAAGAUAGCACUUGAGUGAGCAUCAUAAGGAGUAGCUAUCUAAUUCUAGGGCUUAUUUUUACAAAGCAGCAGCUGACAGUGUCAGCCCAGCUCAUCCCAAAAGUUCUGAGACAGGAAGCUCCUACAUUUGCUAUGACCAAUGUCACUUUAAGAGGUCUUGGCAGUUACAUUCUCACUUAAGUUUUCCUUCUGCAACAAUGAUAUAUACGGAGGAUUAGAAGAUACUUCAAAAGGUUACCUUUUAUUCAUACCCACUUAAAAACUAAACCCACUAAAUCAACUUCCUGUCUCCUUUCUCAAACAUGUAUAGAGUGCCACCACGUGUCAGGCACAGUGCUGGGUGCUGCCAUUCACAGGUGCAGACCCCACAGGGUCUUUUCCCUCAGAGCUGGUGGAGGUUGUAGGGUAGCCUGUGCUCAGUCCUGGAUCUGUCUCUUGAGGACCAGUUCUUCUUUGGCCAUGGAGAAUGAGCAGAGCAGCAUCUAACAAUGGACAGGGUGCCCUCUCAGCUUCUCUGUCUUCACGAGUGACUGCCACACAUUUUAUUUUAUUUAUUUAUUUAUUUAUUUAUUUUUGUCUUUAGAGUAGAAUAAUUUAUAAUCCUUUGGGUGUAUACCCAGUAAUGAGGUUGCUGGGUCAAAUGGUAUUUCUGGUUCCAAAUUCUUUUUUUUUUUUUUUUUUUUGUGAUUAAAAUCUUUUCUUCUUUUUUUUUUCUUUUUCUAUUUCUUAUUUAUUAUUUUUUUUAAAGAGGGAAAAAGAGAAAAAGAAGGGGAAAAAAAGAAAAAGAGGGAAAAAGGAAUAUUACUUCAUUCAUAAAAUGGGUUUCAAUAAUGGCUGAUCAAUAUUUUGAGUGUUUAAAGUGGUUAAUGCAUAUUUUAUGUGUUUAAAAUGGAGACCUCUAUUGUGUUUAUUUGUUCUGGCUCUGAGUUCAAGUCCUGGAUAUUGUUAUCAAUUUGUUGUCUCGUUGAAUCUAAAUCUCAUUAUGCCACACAUUUUAAACUAGAACUCUUUUGACAUAUUUAGCACCUAACAGAUGGUGCAAGAAUUCUGGGCACCUUUUCUUUUCUGUUUGGGUGGGGAGGACAGGCCUGUGACAAAUGCGAGCAUAUUUGGGGAGGUGGGGAAAUAUAGGAAAGAGGGAGGCCAGUCUCUUUUCCCUAUUUUGGAAAAAUAAGCAUUUUUCAUAGAAACCCGAUAUUUUCAUGAGACUCUUUUUAAAAAAGAAAUGCUUUAACAUGAAAAAAGUUAUAGAUACAUUAAAGUAGAUAUAGUAGUGUGAUAAAUCCCAUGUACAUUUUGUUCAGCUCUAAUGAUUUGCGGCAUGUGGCCUGAUUUUGUUUUACAAACAUCCCCUCCCCUGUAUUGUUUUGAAGCAAACUUGAUAUUAUUAUUAUUAUUAUUAUUUUCUUGAGAUAGAGUUUUGCUCUGUCACCCAGACUGGAGUGCAGUGGCACAAUCUCAGCUCACUGCAACCUUUGCCUCCUGCGUUCAAGCUAUUUUCCUGCCUCAGCCUCCUGAGUAGCUGGCAUUACAGGUGUGCGCCACCAUACCCAGCUAAGUUUUGUAUUUUUCAUAGAUAUGAGGUUUCACCAUGUUGGCCAGGCUAGUCUCAAACUCCUGACCUCAUGAUCUGCCCACCUCAGCCUCCCAAAGUGCUGGGAUUAUAGGCAUGAGCCACCGUGCCUUGCUGUUAUGUUAUUUCAUCUGUAAAUAUUUCAAUAUGUAGUUUUAUAGAUAAUGAUUCCUUUUUAAAAAGUAACCACUAAAGAAAAAAAUUCACGAGUUCAUAUGUUAAAACUUAAUCACCCAUGUGCUAGUAUUAAGAUGACAGGUGUUUAGAAGGUGGUUAAAUCCUGAGGGCAGAGCCAUCCCGAAAGGAAUUAGAGUCCUUAUAAAAGAGUUUGAGGGAGUAGGUUUGUUCUCUUCUGCUCUUCUGCCAGGAGGACACAGCUUUCAUCCCCCUUUCUGCCCUUCUGUCCCUCCCACCAUGUCAGGACACAGUGGAUUCAAGCAGGGUCUUGAAGGCUGUGUUCUAAUUAAAGAGGUGGAAAAGAAGGGGAAUGAAAUUAUACACAACGUUGAAGAUCAGCUUCUACUCUUCAUGUUAUCGUAUAUAAUUUUGAAAAAAAUCCUUUAAUCCCUUUGGAAAUCCAUUUUCUUAUAUGUAAGAUGGGAAUGAUGAAAUCUGUGUUGGAGGGCGCUUAUAAGGAUUAAUGGGAAAGCCCCAAGUAUUGGUGAGAAUGAAUUUCUUUGCAAGUGAUGUUAAUAACUUAAUUAAGAUAUAACAUGUAAGGAGGCUGAGGCAGAAGAAUCACUUGAACCCAGGAGAUGGAGGUUUCGGUGAGCUGAGAUCGAAUCACUGCCCUCCAGCCUAGGUGACAGGGCGAAACUCCGUUUCAAAAAAGAAAAAAAAGAUAUAACAUAUAACAUCUCUUCAGUGGUUAGUAUAUGAAGCUGACAAACCUCCUUUCUCCACAACAUCAACUCUCAUCUGGUGAUGCCCUCUGUCUUGCUCCUGUUGGUUGAAGAUGGGAGAAGUCUUGCAUUUGUACAUCCUUGUGCAGGGGACCACAGAUGGGUGUUCUGUCAUUCUGGUAACUAUAAAUUGCCCAGUUGACUGGCUGACUUUCAAGGGAGAAGGGAACUGAACUGUCUCCCCGUCCUCUGCACGCACUUUGUUGUUUUAAGUCUGCACCUUUACUUGCUGCUGCCUCCACUGCUUGGAAUGUGCCAUCUUCUCAGCCUCAGCUGGUCAGCAGUCACUGGGUCAGUAAGAGUCAGCUGAGGUUUUGCUCUGUGAACUUUCCCUGACCUCAUUUUGACCUCCUAGGCUGGCUGAGGUUCCCCUUUUCUGUGCUCCCAUGCUGUACUGGGUAUUGCGCUCUUCAGUGCACAAUUAUCACACCAUACUACAAAGACCUGCCUCUCCCUGGGCUCACCGGGCCUUCAAGACGGGCACAUAGCACUCACUCAUGACAUGGUUGUUGAAUGAAUGAAUGGCCUUUCUCCAUUCCCUCACAGUCCUAAUUUCACCCCCCUCUGGGCACCAUCAUUCCUUCUCAUUGUGCAUUGUUUAUGGCUUGUUAGUUAUUAAUACAAAGCCAUUUCCUGGUCUGGCCAUUAGUAAUGUCUCUAGGUGUUAAUAAUAACACCGGCUCACAUCUACUGAGCACUUACUAUUUGGCUGCCCUGUUCUAAGCACUUUGCAUGUAUAAACUCCUUUGAAUGUUCCUUCUUUGCCUUUAUUCCUGUUAGGGACUUGUUGCAUUGAACUUAGCACAGAAAGUCAACACCAGAACAAAAGUAUGCCAAAUUGCAGGGUUUAUUGCCGGCGACCACGGAGGACUCACUCCAACCCGUGGCCCCGAAUGAAAAGAAACAAGACCUUUUUAUACCCGCAAAACCACCUUGGGAGUGGGGGUGGAGAUGGGAAUGAAAGCUGUCAAUCACCUCCCAGGCUAAGACGAGGGUGAGGGGCUUCAGACAUUCCGAGGGCCAGUGGAUUCAAAUCACCUUCUGGGUGGAGAGGAGGGUGAGGGGGUUCCGGACAUUUCGAGUACCAGGGGACUAUUUGACAUUCUGAUUGUUAUUUAAGGGUUCACAGAUGCUAAGAUUAGCAUUCAUUUACACAUCGUCUGGGUAGGGUGGGAUCCAUAGAUUUUCAGUUGCUUGGCGCCAGGAUGGAAUGAUCUGGGGGUGCUUACUCUGGGAAACAAAGGCCAGCAAUUCUGGCAGAUAAGAGAAGAUGUGCAGCUUUACCUCUCUUUGCAUCCUGCAAAUGAUCUAGCAAUUUACAGAAAUCAAGAUUAGCAGUCCUUGAGGAGAAUGGAAACAUUUUUGUCUUUUAUAAGAUGGCAGUAUACAGGUUCCAACUUAAGUUAGCUAUAUCACAGACUAACCUUAACAUUGUGAGGGGUAGUGUUCUGGUAGAGCCGUAGAACUGGAACGUGGCUUUAUUGUCCUAAGAUGCAGGACAGUAAGUCCUGCUGUGGAAUACAAGUUGACUACGUCUGUCAUCAUCAAAUACUGGAAGAUAUGGCUGGGGAAAAACCAGAAAGUACUCGACAUUUGAUCUCCUCUUAGUGCAAUGACAUGAUAGCUUUAUUUUGUUUUGUUUUUUUUCUUUAUGUGUAGUUUUAAAUUACUGUACUAUGUUUCGGGUACUCAGGCCAGGAGAACAAAUUGGGAUGAACGAUUGUAUUUACAUUUCAGUUUACUAGAGGUAGUCUUGAAAGAGUUAUAAAAAUGUGAAUAUCAGUGUGGAAAAAAAUACGGGAGGUUUUCAAUCGUUUUUUUUCAAAAAUGAUAAAUUGGCAAGGAAGACAGAUUUGGGAAGGUCAGUCAUGGGAAUUCGUCUUUCAGUGAAUCCUUCUUGGCUGGGAAGAAAAGCUUUUCUUCUGUUUAGUUGGGAACAGUGGCAAGGAUUAUUUUACCUGAGGAUGGCAGAUUAUUUUACCAGCAGCUGGCAGAUGAGAAGAAUUCCCUGGACAACAAGGAGGGGCAGGAUGGAAUGGAAGGAACCUGCAUAACUUCAGAAGGUCUGGGGUUCAGACAAUGCUGCUUACCAGCUCUUAGCCUUCAUUAAAUUGCUUAUCAUUCCUGGAGGUGCAGUUUCCUUAUCCAUAAAAUGGGGUCGCGUUGCCAAAUUUAGCAAAUAAAAUUCUAGGCUGCCCAAUAUUUCAGAAAAAUAAUUUUUUAAGUAUAAAUAUGUUCCAUAAAAUAUUUAUGUCCCAUGCAAUAAAUAUGUCACUAAUGGUGCAUGGGACAUAUACUAAAACAUUAUUUGUUGUUUAUCUGAAAUUCAGAUUUAACGGUGUGUCCUAUAUUUUAUCUGGCAACCCUAAAUGGGGCAGGGGCAGUGGUGGUGGCAUGAGUAAUUCUCUUGUAGAGGUGGUGCGAGGGUAAAAUGAUACCACUGUUAGGUUUUAUCACAGCGUGUAGUCUGCGUGUAGUCAACACAUAAGUAGUGGCUGUAACAUAACUGGUGUAUAGUCAAAAACAAAUGGAUAUUAUUAGUAUAAUAGUUAUUAUUAAUAAAGGUCUUUAUUAAUAAAGGCAACCAGCCAUACAGGGAGCCUUUGGGGAAAAGUUUCUGACUCUAAACUAAGGGAAGGUAAUAUGAUCAACAUCUGGGAAUAUUUAGACUUAGUAAUAAUUCGGGGAAGAGGGAGACAGCAUAUUUAACUUUACCUUUUUUUUUGAGUGGGAGUCUCACUCUGUACGCAGGCUGGAGUGCAGUGGCCCGAACUCAGCUCACAGUAGCCUCCACCUCUUGGGUUAAGCAGUUCUCUGCCUUAGCCUCCUGAGUAGCUGGGAUUACAGGAGUGUGCCACCACACCCAGCUCAUUUUUGUAUUUUUAGUAGAGAGGGUGGUUCGCCAUCUUGGUCAGGCUGGUCUUGAGCUCCUGACCUCGUAUCCACCUGACUUGGCCUCCCAAAGUGCUGGGAUUACAGGCAUGAGCCAUCCCGCCCAGCCUUAACUUUAUCUUAAAGAAACAUAAAGCCGGAUGAUAGUCUAAUGGCAAGGAAACAAGGCCUUUACUGUCACCUGGUGGCCAUAUGCUUUAACUGCAAUGUGCCUAAGUGCGGCUGUUGAGGAAAGCAUUGGAAAAUCUACUAAAUCCAGAAGGCACCAAGGCUGUGUCAUGACAGAAAUAGUAGUGAACUACUGUGUCCUUCCCCGCAGUUCCCUCUCUCUCACAGCUUGAGAAUCAGCAGUUGGCUGCGAGAGGCAGAGGAGAGAAGAUGGCAAAGUCCAUGCCUUCCUCUUUGGUACCGAGUUUCCAAACCUGAAGUGAAGGAGCCUGAGCGGGGAGCAGUUUUUCACUGUGUUUUUAAAGAGCCUCUUUAUUUAAUGGCUCAGAGUGGCUAGAAAAUCCAUGCUAUUGCUUAGCUUUCAUCUCAAGUGCAGGGACAAGGCAAAUCCAGAGAGAGGAGAUGAAAGGACAAAGAAAAAAGAAAAAAAAUGUGCCGUUUACUGCAUUUUGCUGCAUGUAGUUCACUCAGUAAACAUGUUUUAAAUGCAUAAAUAAAUGAUGAGGUAAAAGCCGGGGGAAAGGCAGUGAGCGAUACCCAGAGAGGACAGGCAAACUGCAUUCCCUUUGGACCGCAGCCUCUCAUCCCUCCCCUAUACACAAACCAAGGUCAAAAUCAGGAGGGAGUCCAGGGGAGAGUUAUCAGUAGGGUUAGCUCUAGGAUUCAUAGUAAAUCUAUUUGAAAAAAAUCUUAAAAAACUCUUAAGUCCAUUAUAGCCAGGAUAUAAAGCAAUCCUGGCCUCCUGACCCUGACCCAGCCACUGUGGCAAGUAGGGCCACUUCCUUUCAUUCUCCCCUGUGUCCUCCUGGAUCUCUCCAAGCCUUCUCUUCUGCAGGGAAGGGCGGAAGCUGGUUCCAUCAGUGCCUCUUCCCCAGCUUCCACUCUCCUCUCUCUUCUGUGACCUCUCAGUUUUCCUUCUCUGUAUCCCAAAUCAUGCCCGUCUGUUGCUGUAAUGGAAUAUUACAUCAUCCAUCAUCUGUUGCUGUAACGGAAUACUACAGACUGGAUAAUUUAUAAAGUAUGAAAGUUUUCAAGACGCCUACAAGUGGAAAAUGCACUCCUCCCAGCCAAAUCAAGCUUCUCCAGAUUCCUUACAGCUGCAUGCUGUGAAAUGACUAAUGAAAGAGCCUUCUGCUACUGGUGGAACUUUCAUAUGUGGCACUAUUGUGCCGCUCAGCAGGACCUGACCCUGGUAUUUACAUACUGGAUGUCACCCCAAAAGCCCCUGACCAGGGGGUUUCCGGGAUGUAAUAAGAAUGCUGCUCUGGGCUUUGGAAGGUGUGCUGUAUGCACGCCCAUACUAUAGGGCAGGGGUUAGCAUUUCAGACCCCCGUUCCUCCCUCGACAAGCAAGUGCUUUUCUCCAGGGAAGAUGUUCAGAUUCAGUCAUAGAGCCACUGGUGCCAUGGGCAGCUCAGUAACAAUAGCCCUGCUGUCUGCCAGCUGUGGUAGAGGUGCUGAGAAUACCUAGAUGAGGAAGUCAGGGGCCCUGUGUGCCUGAGGAGAGCUGGAAGCCUGCUAUGGCAAUGGACACAAACCCUUGGAUAAUUUCCAUUCUUGGCUGUGUGUUCUGUAGCAUAGGUGUGAAGUGGGUGUCCUGGGAGCUCAGAAGAGGGGCCCUUAACUUAUGGGUGGCCAGGGAAGGCUUCCUGGAGCUCAAAUAACUGAGUGGAGUCUUCAGCAGUAAGAAAAUAAAAGUGCCCCCCCCCGUCCCCCACCACACUCCCAGUUAGAAAGGUAAUACACCUCAUUGAAAUGAUUUAAACUUUAUGGAAAUGUGUUCCUUUAAAGUUCGGAGAGUAAAGAGGAAGUAAUAAAGUGCAAAUUGUAGAAUUUCGAAU